UACGUAGGGUGCAAGCGUUGUCCGGAAUUAUUGGGCGUAAAGAGCUCGUAGGCGGCUUGUCGCGUCGUCCGUGAAAACCCACAGCUCAACUGUGGGCUUGCGGUCGAUACGGGCAGGCUAGAGUUCGGUAGGGGAGACUGGAAUUCCUGGUGUAGCGGUGAAAUGCGCAGAUAUCAGGAGGAACACCGGUGGCGAAGGCGGGUCUCUGGGCCGAUACUGACGCUGAGGAGCGAAAGCGUGGGGAGCAAACAGG
rnacentral:rRNA from 1 species